rnacentral:rRNA from 1 species
UGCAGUCGAGCGGACAGAUGGGAGCUUGCUCCCUGAUGUUAGCGGCGGACGGGUGAGUAACACGUGGGUAACCUGCCUGUAAGACUGGGAUAACUCCGGGAAACCGGGGCUAAUACCGGAUGGUUGUUUGAACCGCAUGGUUCAAACAUAAAAGGUGGCUUCGGCUACCACUUACAGAUGGACCCGCGGCGCAUUAGCUAGUUGGUGAGGUAACGGCUCACCAAGGCAACGAUGCGUAGCCGACCUGAGAGGGUGAUCGGCCACACUGGGACUGAGACACGGCCCAGACUCCUACGGGAGGCAGCAGUAGGGAAUCUUCCGCAAUGGACGAAAGUCUGACGGAGCAACGCCGCGUGAGUGAUGAAGGUUUUCGGAUCGUAAAGCUCUGUUGUUAGGGAAGAACAAGUACCGUUCGAAUAGGGCGGUACCUUGACGGUACCUAACCAGAAAGCCACGGCUAACUACGUGCCAGCAGCCGCGGUAAUACGUAGGUGGCAAGCGUUGUCCGGAAUUAUUGGGCGUAAAGGGCUCGCAGGCGGUUUCUUAAGUCUGAUGUGAAAGCCCCCGGCUCAACCGGGGAGGGUCAUUGGAAACUGGGGAACUUGAGUGCAGAAGAGGAGAGUGGAAUUCCACGUGUAGCGGUGAAAUGCGUAGAGAUGUGGAGGAACACCAGUGGCGAAGGCGACUCUCUGGUCUGUAACUGACGCUGAGGAGCGAAAGCGUGGGGAGCGAACAGGAUUAGAUACCCUGGUAGUCCACGCCGUAAAACGAUGAGUGCUAAGUGUUAGGGGGUUUCCGCCCCCUUAGUGCUGCAGCUAACGCAUUAAGCACUCCGCCUGGGGGAGUACGGGUCGCAAGACUGAAACUCAAAGGAAUUGACGGGGGGCCCGCACAAGCGGUGGAGCAUGUGGUUUAAUUCGAAAGCAACGCGAAGAACCUUACCAGGUCUUGACAUCCUCUGACAAUCCUAGAGAUAGGACGUCCCCUUCGGGGGGCAGAGUGACAGGUGGUGCAUGGUUGUCGUCAGCUCGUGUCGUGAGAUGUUGGGUUAAGUCCCGCAACGAGCGCAACCCUUGAUCUUAGUUGCCAGCAUUCAGUUGGGCACUCUAAGGUGACUGCCGGUGACAAACCGGAGGAAGGUGGGGAUGACGUCAAAUCAUCAUGCCCCUUAUGACCUGGGCUACACACGUGCUACAAUGGACAGAACAAAGGGCAGCGAAACCGCGAGGUUAAGCCAAUCCCACAAAUCUGUUCUCAGUUCGGAUCGCAGUCUGCAACUCGACUGCGUGAAGCUGGAAUCGCUAGUAAUCGCGGAUCAGCAUGCCGCGGUGAAUACGUUCCCGGGCCUUGUACACACCGCCCGUCACACCACGAGAGUUUGUAACACCCGAAGUCGGUGAGGUAACCUUUUAGGAGCCAGCCUC